rfam:Myotis brandtii contig163475, whole genome shotgun sequence.
AGGCCCGAAAAGACAGGCAGGGUCUGAUCCGCAGCCUCCGUGGCAGCUGUUGAUCAGCCGUUGCUUCUCUCUUUCCCCCGG